CAUCAACCAAAGCAAGACAUUAACCGCUCCCACCCCCACGCCUAACAACUCCCCGCUUUUGUUCUGGCAUCCAAUCGGGACGGCAUCUCACCGCUCAGCGCCUAGGCCGAUUUUAGAACAAAAAGGUUUACCAUCAGAAGUAUAAAUUUCCCCUUUGGAAUUAUUAGUUGAUGCCUACUACAGUUUAUCCCUUGCUCGCUUAGCUUCUUUCAUGAAGGCAGCUCCUCACUUGCAUAAACUUGUUUUGGGUUGGGUUUCGGAUCCAAUGUGGAGAUGGCAAAAAUAGAGAAAGCUUCCAAGUGGCCCAUCAGAACCUCAAGCUAGUAGAAAUAGCAGAAAUAGCAGGGUUUCAUGGUCACAAAUGGUGUGUUAAGCACGUUACGUUCUUGAUGAAGAGUGCUGUUGCAUUGUAGAAAUUGUUAUAAACCUACAAAUGCCAGAAUGGAAAAUUCUGCCAUGCCCACUUAAUAAAUAAGUUGCAUAUGGAAGACAAAGAAAAUUCAAAAACCGGGCGAUUCUUUGGAUCAAAACUGUUGGAGAAGUUAUUCAUGGUAUCGUGAUUGUUUGCUUUUUAGUGUACCCAUUAUUCUUCUACAUUUCUAUUCUCAAGGAUAAUGGGAACCUAGAAGAAUAAUGGAUCCACUAAAAGAGCACACAAACACGAUGCUAUGAAUAUCUUCUUCUAGUAAUUUUGAUCUAAAGACUCGUCAGGUUUUUGAAUUUCCUUUGUCUUCCAUAUGCAACUUAAUUUAUCUUCAGAUUGCAUGGCCAUGACAGAGUUUUCCAGUCUAGCCUGUGGAUUUUAAUCAGAAUUACUAGACAAAAGACAACAAAUGUAAUAUAAGGUACUUAUGAAUAUCAAAUGCCUGUGGAUUUUAAUCAGAAUUUCCCCCUCUUUUUUUUUCUUGUCGAUGGCAGCAUCCAUGACCCUUUUGACUUUGAUCCACUCUCACUAGCCAGCACACCUAAAACUUUGUUCGAUUUAUUCAUGCCGAAACAAGAUAUGGUUUUGUUUGAUCCACCCUCACGCAUCUCUUGUUAUUUUAGCUAAAGCAAUAUGUGUGCUUAUCAUAUCUUUUCAAAUAUAAAAGAUUAGGCCUAAUCGGAUAAAUGGUCUCCGUGGUUAUAAGGUCUUUAGAAGGUAGUCAUGUGGUAAAAAAAAUUCGGAUUUAAACCUUUGUGGUCAAAGUCUGUUAGGAUUUAUGCCCAAAAUUGAAACUUCCAUCAUUCAUCCGUUAGUAUCAUGCAUCUGAGUGUCACAUGUGAGAAUUAGAUGGUCAUUUCAUCCCCUAUUUCAUCCCUUCCAUCUUGAUUGAUGCUGCUGCUCCUUCUUCAAAGGUAAGUGACAAGUGAUGGAAUGUGGAAUCCAAAAAAGCAAUAAGAUUUGUUCUACUGCUAUUAAACAACUAAUUGGCUUUAUGCCUCCUAGUUUGCUCUGUUUGUUUUCUUUUUGUUGCCUUCUUCCCUUUCAAAACCCUACAAAUAAACCCCUAUAUAUACCACUAAGAAGGAGACUGGAAAACAGAAAAAACUUUCAAGCAUAAUAAGGAGGAGAUCGACUGGAAAAAAAAAAAAAAAAAGAAACCGACUGAAAAAAAAAAAAAAAAAAAAGGCCUUUGAAGCAAAAAAGAAGAAGCCUUUGAAUUUACUCCUUUCAUCUGGAGCGAAAUUUGAUUUAAAGAUGGUGGACAUAUGAUCUUGAAUCGGACUUGUGAUUUCUUCAAGAUCCUUAGAACUUGUUUUUGAAUGAAAUCCUAACAUAUCUUUAAUUUAAAAAAAAAUAAAAACUUUCCACUCUCACAUUCUCUCUCUCUAAAAAAAAAAAAAAAAUAAAUCAAAUAAAAAAAUUCUCUUCUCACACACUUGGGUACCCGUAUGCUAGUAUUAAAAAAAUAUAACAAAAUAAAAUAAAAUAAAAAAAAUAAAAAAACCUAUCAAACCCUAGCAGAUCAUUAGCCGCACCCCACCCCUACUUCUCUCUCAAAUCUCAUAGUAGCACACUCUCACUUCGAUCUCCCUGUCUGCGUCAGAUCAUAUAUUUCUCCCUCCCUCCAUUCCUCUCUGCACUAUCUCCCUCUCUCUCUUUCACUCCCUCGUCAGAUUUCAUGGACGAAUCUGCAGUGAUUCGAUGCGACCGGAUGUGGAAGGCGACGAGGAGAACGGCCUAGCACCACCGCCUAACACCGCCUAGGAGCGCUUAGGCGGGCGCCUAACAACUCCCCGCUUCUGUCCACUGUUUGGCACCCAAUCAGGACGGCACCUCACCGCUCAGCGCCUAAGGCGAUUUUUUUGACACUAAGUUGGUUAUCAGAUCCAAUGUGGAGAUAGCAAAAAUAGAGAAAUCUUCCCAGUGGCCCCGUCAGAACCUCAAGCUAGUAGAAAUACCAGUGUAUAAUGGUCACAAAUGUUGCGUCAAGCAAUUCAAGUACUUGAUGAAGAACGCCAUUGUACUGGAGAAGAUUGUUAUAAAUCUUGUUCGAUUUUGGUGUUUGUCUACGGCAAUCGAGCAAGUUCCUAUGGGAGAAUGAGUAAAUUUUAAGGCCAGACUGGAAAACUUCGUCAUGCCAUGCAACCUGAAGAUGAAUUAAGUUGUAUAUGGAAGACAAAGUAAUUCAAAAAGCUUAUGGAAGACAAAGUAAUUCAAAAAGCUAAUGACUCUUUGAAUCAAAAGUACUGGACAGAGAUAUUCAUAACAUCGUGUUUGCGUUCUGUUUUAGUGUAUCCAUUAUUCUUCUGCGUUCCCAUUCUCAAGGAUGAUGGGAACUUAGAAGAACAAUGGAUCCACUAAAACAGCACAUAAACACGAUGAUAUGAAUGAUGAUAUGAAUAUCUUCUUCCAUUACAUUUGAUCCAAAAAGUUGUCAGAUUUUUGAAUUUCCUUUGUCUUCCAUAUGUAACUUAAUUUAUCUUCAAGUUGCAUGGACAUGACAAAGUUUUUCAUUUUGGCAUUUGGAUUUGAAUCAGAAUUACUGAACAAGAACCCCAAGUAGUAGAAAUGGCAGGGUAUCAUGGUCAUGGAUGUUGCAUUAAUCAUGUCAGGUACUUGAUGAAGAAUGUUGUUGCAUUAGAGAAGAUGGUUAUAAAUCCUGUCCAGUUUUGGCGUUGGCCUAUGGGAAUCGAGAGCAAUGCCCUGCGGGAGAAUGAGGGAAAAAAUGCAAAGAGAAUGCAAGUGCUCAUUCUAUCCAUUACCUCAAAGAAAAAUGCCCUCUACCGUAGAAUAUUAGAAUUGGUAUGCAUGUAUUAGUAACUAAUAAUUGCAUCGCAGUGCUUGUAUUAACAAUAUAUCUAGAGUUUGUAGUAGUGUCAACUAUUAGGCUUGAGCCUUUGACUUGUACGCCUGCAUUGUAUUAACUAUGUUCUUUGAGCC